CCUACGGGGGGCAGCAGUAGGGAAUCUUCCACAAUGGGCGCAAGCCUGAUGGAGCAACACCGCGUGAGUGAAGAAGGGUUUCGGCGCGGAAAGCUCUGUUGGUGGAGAAGAACGUGCGUGAGAGUAACUGUUCACGCAGUGACGGUAUCCAACCAGAAAGUCACGGCUAACUACGUGCCAGCAGCCGCGGUAAUACGUAGGGGGCAAGCAUUAGCCGGAUUUAUUGGGCGUAAAGCGAGCGCAGGCGGUUGCUUAGGUCUGAUGUGAAAGCCUUCGGCUUAACCGCAGAAGUGCAUCGGAACCCGGGCGACUUGAGUGCAGAAGAGGACAGUGGAACUCCAUGUGUAGCGGUGAAAUGCGUAGAUAUAUGGAAGAACACCAGUGGCGAAGGCGGCUGUCUGGUCUGCAACUGACGCUGAGGCUCGAAAGCCUGGGUAGCGAACAGGAUUAGAUACCCUAGUAGUC
rnacentral:rRNA from 1 species